rnacentral:rRNA from 1 species
UACGAAGGGGGCUAGCGUUGCUCGGAAUCACUGGGCGUAAAGGGUGCGUAGGCGGGUCUUUAAGUCAGGGGUGAAAUCCUGGAGCUCAACUCCAGAACUGCCUUUGAUACUGAAGAUCUUGAGUUCGGGAGAGGUGAGUGGAACUGCGAGUGUAGAGGUGAAAUUCGUAGAUAUUCGCAAGAACACCAGUGGCGAAGGCGGCUCACUGGCCCGAUACUGCCGCUGAGGCACGAAAGCGUGGGGAGCGAACAGG